rnacentral:tRNA from 1 species
GGGGUUGUAGCUCAGUGGUAGAGUGUUCACCUAGCAUGUGCCGAGGCUCUGGGUUUGAACCUCAGCACCACA